GGAGGAGACCCGGCCCGGGGGGGGGCGUUCAAGGACCUCGGAGCCACCGGACGGCGUCUGUUGUCCCUGACAGGCAGAAAAGGAAAAGGAUGCUUCCAACCCCCCCCCUCCCGCAAAGGACUUAUAACCAUUGUGGCCAUCCCUGCUCUGCUCGGGGGUGUGUGUGUGCAAUCAUCCUAUCCGCGGCGGCAGCUGUGCGGGCCGGUCGCGCUGAGCGGAGGUCAAGGCCCGCGGCGCCGGGCCCUCCGUCCGUCCCUCCGUCCGUCCGUCCUUCCCUCCCUCCCUCUCGGCGGCCCUUCCAGGAGGCAGAGAGGUAAGAGCGCCGGGCUGGGCGGGAAGGGAAUCCCUCGCUCCCCGGGAACUGGAGCCCUUCCUCCAGCUGAGCAGGGGCUGCUGCCGACGUCACCGCCGCCGCCUCGCCCGGCCAGCCCGGCUCCCUUCCCACGUCGAAGGGAAGUCCGGGCGAGGAGCAUCACCGGCCCGCGGCCCUGGGCUGGCCUGCCUGCGGAGACCCGAGAGAGAGAGAGAGCGAGCGAGAGAGCCAAGAGGGGCCUUGGCAUCACUUCCGACCCCGCCGCCUCCGCCGCCGCCACCGGUGCCAAGAACAGAGUCUGAUUCCAUGCUCGUGAAGAAGACCUUAGGGAUUUAGCGACGAUGAAAACCGCCUUCUCCUGAGUCAGAGGCUCCCAGCCAUCAGUGUGGCCCACGCUGAUGACCAGCGACGCCUUCCUUGGGUCUUGUCCAGGACUCCACGCCAGCCUUACCUGGAGAUGUGGCUGGGGUGGGGGUGGGGGGAGAGGAGGGCUUACGCCUGGGUGACCUUCUGCAUGGAAAGCUGUUCGUUGCUACCAUUGAGCUGUAAACAGCAGAAGAGCUGUGGAAGAGUCUUGGACUGGGCUCUGGUUUCUAGAUCACAGCUUUGGUCGUUCUUGAUACUCCAGCGCUCUCUCUCUCUCUCUUUUCCUUAGGAUGUCAACUGAGUUCUUAAGUUGAAGUCCAAACAUUUUGUCUGCAAUCCAAACAUUUCUAUGUAAUGAGACACGAAUUUCCAAAACACUCCUGUUAACCUGAUAAAUUAUAUCAGUGAAGCUGGAAGAUGAUUAAAGUUGAAAACUCUGUCUCCUCUCUGCCUCUGCCUCCGAUCUGUCUCCUUCUAAGCAAACCUCAGAUAGAUACCAAACUAUAUUAGAAAUCAAUCAUCCACCUGCCUUGGUUUUCCACCCUCAAAGCAAACAAAGGGAACGCCUCGCAGCUUGACUAUCUAAUGAAAUCGUAGUCAUAUU
rnacentral:lncRNA from 1 species